rnacentral:rRNA from 1 species
AAACCCCUUUUCUCAGGGAAGAAGUUCUGACGGUACCUGAGGAAUCAGCCUCGGCUAACUCCGUGCCAGCAGCCGCGGUAAUACGGAGGAGGCAAGCGUUAUCCGGAAUUAUUGGGCGUAAAGCGUCCGCAGGUGGUGGGGCAAGUCGGCGGUUAAAGACUGGGGCUUAACUCCAGAAAGGCCGUGGAAACUGCACCACUAGAGGGCAGUAGGGGUAGAGGGAAUUCCCGGUGUAGCGGUGAAAUGCGUAGAGCUCGGGAAGAACACCAGUGGCGAAAGCGCUCUACUGGACUGCAACUGACACUCAGGGACGAAAGCUAGGGGAGCGAAUGGGAUUAGAUACCCCAGUAGUCCCUAGCCCGUAAACGAUGGGAUACUAGGUGUUGUCUGUAUCGACCCCAGACAGUGCCGUAGCUAACGCGAUAAGUAUCCCGCCUGGGGACUACGCACGCAAGUGUGAAACUCAAAGGAAUUGACGGGGGCCCGCACAAGCGGUGGAGUAUGUGGUUUAAUUCGAUGCAACGCGAAAAACCUUACCAGGGCUUGACAUGUCCCGAACCCUGCCGAAAGGUGGGGGUGCCUUCGGGAGCGCGAACACAAGGUGGUGCAUGGCUGUCGUCAGCUCGUGUCGUGAGAUGUUGGGUUAAGUCCCGCAACGAGCG